UGGCUGCUGAACGUCUGAUCUACUAAGGAUGCUUGAGAGCUCGUUCUUCUCAACCUAUGGUAUAAAACACCAUAGUGCAAAUGCGUUAGUACGUUGAAUAUACUGCUAUGCAAGUGAGGUAGGCUAAAUACAAGGGUUCAUAUGCAUAAACAAUAAUAACUGACUGUAUAACAUGAACGUGAGAAUACAUGCAUAAAUAUGUAACUGUUACUAAGAUCGUGACAGCGCUGACUCAUGAAUUUUGACAAUAUGGAUUUACUAAUAUAUGAGUACUAAUACUGGGAUAUUAAAUGACUGAGUCUACUAAAUACUGAGGAACUAAUGUCAUAUUAUUAAUAAAGAAAUGACUGUUUCUGAUAGUUCUGAUUAUGAAGAACUGGUCUAAUUGACUGUAUCUGGUAGUCCUGAAACUAAAUAUUGAUAACAUGGGUUUUGUAUAAUUAAUAUACUAUUAACUGAGUUCGUGAUAACAUGAUUACUAAUUCUGAAUACUGAUAACAUGAGUGACUGCAUCUGAUAGUCCUGAUAUUGAUGGAACUAGCUGGGUUCUGUACUGUACUGAUUUUACUAUAUAUGACAGUCCUGGAUUUUUGUAGAACUGAACUGAGUUUUAUUACUGAAAUUGGAUCUUAAACUGAGACUGUGGGUGGUAAUUAUCUAACCGACAUGCCCCAAAACUGAACUGGUGGGGUCUAACCUAUAAUCCCAGCUAGAAGGGUAUCAGUACCGUGCUACAGGUAAAGAUAAGCUAUGAGUAUACCCUUUCUCAUAGGGUAUAAAUCCCUAUGAGAUAUAUAAAUCCCUAAACGUGUAGGGUGCAUCUCAACCUACACUGACUACGUAGUUCUGGAACACAAGGAUUGCUUUUAAGGAUCUUACCCUCUAUUGAAUAACAGGUGAGUCCCCAUCCUUUGAUUCAUUCAGUGCUGAAUCCUACUCCCAACUGAAUAGACACUGAACUGAUUAACUAAACUAAAAUGAUACUAAUGGUAUUGUUUAGCGGUGCUAAACUGAGUUCACUGAGUUCCAUUGACUGGCAGAAUGCUAUUAAGAUCUGAGGACUGAUAUAGAGUACUGAAGUUACUGAGAUUUAUGGAAAUACUGAGGUGACUGAUAUUACUGAGUACUGAUGUUACUGACACCACUGAGGUUACUGAGAUUACUGAGUAGGACUUGAUUGAUACUGAAUUUACUAAUUUUUCCUGAGUCAUGAGACAAACUGAAUUCUAAGGAUCAUGACUUGACUGAGAGUAUCGUGAAAACAUGAAACUGACUCUAGGCACAUAGCUAAAUUAUCGGGUACAAGUACCCCUAGUACUCGAUAGCAUGAAACUAACAAUACAUGACACUUCUUGAACACAUGACCAAUAUCAACUAGUCAUAAUACAUUAAUUUAGGGAUUUCAUGAAGCACAUGGUUCUCAUAGUCUUGUACAUGAAUGGAAUUGCAUAUAAACAUGUCAUACUUUCAUCAACCUAAUCUCAUGGACAUUCCCUCAACCAUUCAUAAUGCACACAAUAUCAUGAAAGUCAUUCUUAAUCAUAGGGUAAAGCAUACACUUAUCACUUGGGUCACAAUUAAGAUAUAAUGCAUAAUUUCUAUUCUCCUAAACAUUUUAUCAAACACCUAGGAUGCAUGACUAAGGGCAUAGGCAUGACCAUCAAUUAAUACAACAAAACUCCAUAUUUUAACUCAAUUUCACAUGUUUCAAAACACAUACUAGCAUAGGUUCAUGAACAACACAUAAAGAUUCCAACUUGGGAAUCAUACAACCAUAAUGACAUGAACAUAAUCAACCCACAGUAAAAUAUUCACAAUAUAAGAUUUAAAGCUUGAUUCUUGGGCUUCAUGGAUGAAAGGAAUCCAUGAAUGAACACUUUGCAUACCUUAGUUCUUGAUUCUACGAAGAUUGACAGAGAGAUUAUUGAAUUUGAGUCUUGGAUUUGAAUCCCCAAUUGAAAACCCUAGCUUGUUCUUGCGAAAAACUUGAGAGAAACAAUAUAUUUUGGGUGAAUUAUGGUUGAAUCAAGUGUUAUUGGGUAUAUAGGGGUGAGAAAUUGACCCUUUUAACCCUUGGACGCGUAUUUUAAUUCUGUGAAAAUCUCUCGACCUGGACCCCUGGCGCGACGUGGUGAAUUUGGACGAAUUUGGUAUCGAUGGAAAUCUUAUUCAAUUUCCCAUAUGAUAAAAAGUGCAAAUCUUGAAAAUACCACAUGUAUAAAAGUGGAUUCAUCUUUAAAAUAAGUCUUUAACAUUUAUGGGAUAAUUUUAAGCUAGGUAGAAGUAUGGGGUAUUACAGGUUUAUGUUCCCAAGUCUUUGAGUUAUCCUAACUCGAAGACUAAACUCCUAAAUCAAUUUAUAACACACUGGCACUAAGAAAUCAUGAAAAUUACAACUCAAUAAACUUUUUAAUACAUAAUAACUAGAAUAGAAUACUGUUCGACACAAGGAUGGAACAUGUUCUUAAAUCUGGUUUACCGUAUUAGGCUUCACUUCGAUAGUUGGGUAGAACUCUCUCAAAUAUUGUUCUUACUAUUUUGCUCGUGUUCUCCCUUUUUUUCUUUCAGUAUUUUUGCAUCAAUUUCAUUUUGAAAGUCCUUGCAUAUUUAUAAGUUCUAUUGAUCUUCACAAUCAAGUAGACUUUCAACUCCACAAGGACUCCCAUGCUUCUUGGACUCUCUUAUUGAGUGUUGUAUUCAAACACUAACUCUUUUUUUCAGCACAUGAUGAUCUCUUAAUGUUUAUCUGAAGAAACAAACUUCCGUUCCUUUAUUUUUACACUUGUGAUUUUAUCUACACAAUGUCCUCUUGCAAGUUAAACUCUUUUUGAAUAGUUUUUCAUGAACAAGCUAAGCUUUCUUAUUACAUGGCCUCUUGUCAAUCAUUAAAACUUCACAAGUCCUAACAAUAUCAGACUUCUAAGGAGAUCUAGAAUUGUCCUUAGAAAAACCAUGAAGGAACCACUCAGGUGAAGCAGUCCAAGGUGGAUAUGCUAACAAAUCAAUAUGAAACUUUCACCAUGCAGGAAGAUGAAUCCAUUCAGGAGUUGCACACAAAAUUCAUAGAAAUAACUAAUGAGAUAUAUUUUUUGGGUGAAGUCAUUCCUACUCAUAAGUAUUUUAGGAAAUUCUUGAGCAUUCUACCGAAAAGAUGGGAAAGAAAAGUUGAUCAUAUCACUAAAUCUAGAGAUCUAAAUAAAAUUGCAAUAGAUGAGCACAUUGGAAAUCUCAAAAUCUAUGAGAUGUUAAAGAAACUUGGAGAGUUAAAUAUUGAGCCCAAGGUGCAAAAAAAUUUAGUCCUUAAGGUUGAAAAAUAAACUACCAGUUCUGAAGAAGAUGAAACAACCUAUCUUGUAAAGAGGAUUCUCAAAGCCUUGAGAAAGUCAGGGACUUUACCCAAGAGAGGAGAUUCCAACAAGGUUCUAAAGGAAGGAAAAGGAAGUGACACAUAUCAUAAAUAUGGAAGGCUUGGUCGCUACAUUAAGGAUUGCCCUAUGCAUAAGAUAGAAUGCAAGGAAUACGCUAAGCAGGUUGCUAGUAAAGAAAAAGGGAAAUAUUAUAUUCUUGUAAGGUUUAUUAACAAUACUAAAGAAUACAAGGUUGCCAACCAAGUGUUGGCAGCCUAUAGGGGUGAUGCCUGUAGUUAUUCGGAUGAUUUAGAACAAGGCAAAGAUGUUUCUGUGAUGGUAAUGGAAGAUGAAGUAUCAACUUUUGACUCUCUCCUUGCUAUGAUGGCAGAUACUGAUGAUGAAGAAAAUAGGCUAGUGACUCUCCUUGAAAUCAAGAAAAAUCUAAAAGAUUACUUCCUUAGUAAGUUGAGAUCUCUUGCUUCUGUGUUGAUUGAUUCUUUGGAUGACCUUAUUAAGGACAAAGAAAAUCUAAAUGAAACUCUUGAAAAGUGUGAGGAAGAAGUGAUCAAAUUAAGUGUCCUAGUGGUUGAACUCACUAAUGAUAAGGUAAAGCUAAAGAAAAAUCUAAUAAAGUGUGAAGAAAUGGUAGAGCCGAGAGUGCAAGCAGCUGAGUAUCAUGUAACCUGCAAGACUCUCUUAUGUGAGAACAACCUUCUGAAUAAAAGGAUAGACAAAAUCAUCAAGUGCAAUUCUAAAGGUAAAGGUGAAGGGAGUAGAAUGCAGUUUUAGUUGGAAGAUGAACUGACCAAUGUCAAGGCUGACCUAAUUGCGUCACUUGAUAGAAACACAAUGCUUAAGAAGAAAAUUAUUCAGGAGAAGACUGAACUCGAGAAAGUUAUUAAGUGGACUAUAUCUUUGCAACAUGGACUACCUUCAUCAACCAAGAAUCCAGUAACAACAAAGGCUUAGGAUAGAAUAGUUAAGAAAAUGGACCAAACUUUUUAGUCAGGAAUGUAAGGGACAAAAAGGAUGUUUCAUGCAUCCAUUGUGGAAAGGAUGGUCACUCUAAGGAUAUAUGUCCCUUCAAAACUACAACUUUAGGAAAAAGAAGGAAACAAAGAUUGCCAAACUGGACAAGGAAAAAGCUAAUUUUUCAUCUGUCACACUUUUGGAAAUCCAGACUUAAAUGGGUUCCCAAGGAUAACAAAUAAUUAAUGAUGUAGGAAAAGGCAAAGGGGAGCAACCAUCAAAUAGAUGAUAACAAUGGCUGCUCAAAGCACUUGAUUGACAACCUGAAGAGCACCUCUUACUGAAAGGCCCUUAAAAAAGACAUAUCUCCUAAGCCAUAAAAUCAAGAAUUGGAGUAUGAGUGGAUUUGGUGGUAUCGUAGAUCAAGGAGAAAAAUGUCAUGUUCAAGUACUAAAAUUCUUAUCCUCAGUAGACCUCUGACAAAUAUCAGUAGGGAACUGAUUGAGAGACACUAGAAGGGGUAUGGCUUGUGGAAUCAAGAUGGAUGCAGGAAAUCCUUAUGAUUCUCCUUGUAUGGAUAUGAAUUGGUAAGCAGGUAUCUGGUUUGGAUAAUUUCUUAUCCAUGACAACAAAGAAAAGAUAUGAAAACAGUGGUGAGACAACAAAAAGUUAUUUGUUUUUAGCAUUGCUUAGGGACCUGGUUCCUAAUUAAGUUAGUACUACUUUCUAUUCCUAAAUAAUGACUAUUUUAAAUAUUUAAUAACUGUGCCAUGUAAUUCUCCCAUCUUUUCAAAAAGCUGUCACUUGUGUUUUAAACUUAGUAAACACAUUCAUCUGACCCAACACGUCUUUUUUUAUGUAUCGUGUCUUUUAAUCUCAAUCAUUCUCCCGUACCUUAUAUAAAGUCUAAAAUCAUAUCAUUUUCUCUCUCAUUUUUAAAAUCCUCUCUCUUUCAAUCUCAUUAGUUUCCAAACGUUUCACAAGGAAAGCCAAAAGGCUUGAUCCUCUUAUAUAUUAUAAUUCUUCCAAACCUUAUGGAAUAUCUUAAUCCUUUUCAUUUUCUUUGGAAGAUGAGCCCCUCUCUUUGAAUGUAAUAGACACGCUCUCAAUACCUUUAAAAUCAGAGGAACAAUUUGCCAUUACUAAAUAUACUCCUCUUUUUUUACAAAGAAUAGCCAAACUUUAUAAUCCUCAAACAAAGAUGAACCGACCUAUUGAUUAUUCGUUAAAAGAAAAUGAUGGUGCCAAUCCCUCCAAAUACAAAGAUCAUAACCCAACUAUUCCUCCAGUCUUAUUCACCAGACAACAAAAUGAGGAUGUUGAUGAUGAAAACAUAGUGCUCCCAUUGGCUCUUGAUUCAUCUGGUGAUAGUAAGGAAAGUAUGGAUGGUUCUGAUAUGAAGGAUAACGAACCCUUAUCCUGGAAGACAUCUAAGAAAAGAUCCUCCUCGUCAACUCUUGGAAGAAGAUCAAGUACCAAGAACAUAAUAAAUAAAGCACUAGAAAGAAGCAAGUGUAGUAUUAGAGGAAGAAAAAUGCCAAAGAAAUAUAGAAUAGGUGUAGUUGAGCCAGAUACUAGAGAUAUUGAUAGUGAGAUUGAAAAAAUGUUUGAAGGCUUAAGUGACUCUGAGAAUAGGUGCCUUGACUCUUAUGUUGAAAAGUAUACUGCUCCUGCUUAGGAAAAAAAUGCAGGAAAUAAGAAUUUCCUCACUAAGGAAAGAAAAGGUUUGUUAGUUUGAAAGUUAGUGCCCAGUGUCACUAGUAAGAGAAGAAGGUUAGUUGAUGUUGAGGAUAUAGGACUAGGUCCCAUGUCCAAAUCUUCCAGAACCUCACAUGCUUCUGGGACCACCAGGAGGGGAACUGGUACGUUGAAGAAAGUUAUGACAUCUAAAGAGAAGGGUUUGUCUCGAGAAGCUAGGCAGAAGAUUCUCAAGACUCAGGAAGUUUUUAGGGGAAGGUUUUUUUAUCCUUCUGUGGCUGACAUGCAUGGAAUGAGAAAAUUACUUAAUUAGGUAAAGUUUUAGAGAUGGGAUCACUUUUUGAGUUGCAUAUGCCACUAUUGCAUAAGGAAAAGGUAACUAUGUUCUACCAUAACUUAGUUAUUUCCGAUGAUGGUCUGUAUUUAACUUCACUAGUUAAUGGGGUAGAUAUGGCCUUUGAUGAAUAUACUUUUUCUGAGAUUCUUGGAGCUCUGACUGUAGGAAUUAGGUCGAUUAGAUCAGGGAAAGGGUUUGCACAAGUUUUUGGGAAUGUGUAGUGAACUUGAUAACUUGAAUAGUAAGACUAUCAGCAAGAAGGUUCUAAAGAAAGAAUAUCAGCUGUUGUUUAAUUAGUACAUAGGGUUCUACUCCCAAGGUCUAAGAGAAGGAGUACUGUGACAGGGCCUGAUAUGUACCUCAUGGAAAUGUUGUCUACCUAUCAGAAGGUGAACCUUCCAGCGAUUGUCAUUGAGUAUUUUAAUACAAUUAUGACUUCAAAUGAUGGCAAACAUGGCCUAACUUACUAUUUUUGGCUGAACAGAGCAGUUGAUUAUUUUAAUGUUGAAUGUGACAAGGCCAAGGCUGGGUCCAUGAAAUAAAUGUUUAACCUUACCUCUUAGGAAGAAAUGAAUGCAUUCCCAGAAAGGGAAGUUAAAAGUCUAAGUCCUUUGUGUGUGAGCUACUUAAUGUGCAAUAUGGUAUGAGGAAGUAAAUAUUCUGACUACCUUGGUAGCUCAAAAAGAUGAUGAGUUUGUUGCAUUAAAGGUUGCAUCAGUUAAAGAUGCAGAAGAGGCAACCAGUUCUCAUGAAAAGUUGAAAAAAAAAGUUACCCUGCAUAACAAGGUGAAGAAGUUGGAAGCUCAAUUUGAAGCCUUGACUGCAAAAAAUGCUGAUUUGACUCAACAAAUUGUCAAGGUACAUGACACAAAACAUGAAAGAAUGAAUGUACUCCUCGGGCAACUAGAUCUAGCUAUAGGAACUUCUUCCUAAAUCCUUUUUACUAUGGUCCCCACUCUUUUACCUUCCCAGCCCUAUUAUUAAGCCUCAUGAAGCUUUAUUAUCUUUUGUUCUUUUUUGUUUAUGAUGAGUAAAUAGCACAAUUGUUAUGAUAUUUUUUUAGUUAUUAUUUUUAAUGAUAUUUGGUACUGAUUGUUGGAUGAUCGAUAUGUUAAUUCCAAAAUUUUAUGGAUGGCUUUUGUUACCUUUGGUUAUGCUAUCACCUAUCACUUCUAUCUAAUCUUUCUUUCUCAUGUAAGUGUAGCCUCAAUGUCCAUGGGCUAACAUGUAUUUUUAUCUGUACUUAGUGUACUGCUUAACCUUUUUGAUGAUACCAAAAGGAGGAAAAUUUGAAGUAACUUGCAUUAAUUUGGCUAGAUGAGGAUGUGUGGUUGUGUGGUUGUGUUGAUCAAUAAAGUGAAUAAGGUGUAGGAUGGAUGUGUGGGAUAGAAGUUCUCUCACUUAGGGGAAGCUUGAUGCUCAUUGAUAGGGGGAAUAAUGUGUAGAAUGGCUAUAUACUUAUAGGUAUUGGUAAUAAGGGGAAUUGGUUGGGCAAACUAGUUUGGCAUGGCCUUGUGGCUUGUAGUGUGUUACUGAGGUGUAAAAUGUGCUGUGUGGGGAUGUUUUGAAAAUAGUGAAUGCCCACAUAGGUUUGUCAUCAUAAAAAAAGGGGAUAUUGUUAAGUCCAUAGUUUUGAUGAUUGGCAAACUAUAUGACAUUCGGAUGUUGGGACCUAUUUCCUGGAGUUUUUGUGAUAACAAAGCUACUAUGAAUUAGGGAAUAGGUUGGGCUCACCUAACACUAUCACGGUCAACAGUCAUAGCUGAUACAAUGUACAAAAGUUAGUGAAAAAGUUGCUGCCACCUUUUUGCCUCAACCAAUUGGAUCUCUCCUAGGUUUUCUUGUUUCAUACUAUAUAUUGCUCAUUUUCCUCAACAAGAAAACUAAUUCUUUCAUAUUCUUACAACUAAAUAUCCUUUGAAGCUGAAAUCAAUGACUAUAAACUGCAGCAGGAAACUGAUUGUUCAUCGAUUUGUAUUCUUACUUUCUUGUUGUAGUUGAGUCUUUGAGUUUUGUUCUUAAACAUUUGCCUACAUUUUCUUAUGAUUCUAGUCGGUGUUGAGGUGCUAACCUUGUUUUUAUAAUCAUUUAGAGUUAGGUGACUGUUCAAGAUAGAGUUAGCUUGUUAUGUCCAGUUAGAGUUAGGUGGAGGUUGAAGCAGCUGAGGUACUGCUUGCGUUUCAUUGUAAUAGAGUUUUUGCUCGAAAACAAAGGAUUAGGGGGUUAAUCCUUGGAGUCUGUGUUCAAGAAGUAGCUUGAGUAUAGUGGAGCUUAGAAAUCCUGGAGCCAGGUCGUGAUUUUUUUCUCAUGAGCAAGGAGUUUCCACGUAAAAAUCUUGUGUCUUCUAUUUACUUUAUUCCUACACUUCUUGCCUUAUAUAUCGCCUAGUUCGUGUUAUGUGAGUAUCAGGAAAUAGGUCCCUAAGUUGAGGAGCAACUCACUCCACCCCUUCAGUUCCAUAUUAGGUGGUCAUUUUACCAAAGAUAUUUGUCCCAUGUUAGUUGGUCAUCCUACUAAAUCAAUAAAACAUUGAUUAAAUUUUUUCAUAUUAUCUUUGCAAUUAAUCUUUUUGAAAGAGUUCACACUUAUUUGUAAAGCUUCCAAGAAGUUUUUUAAGGAGUGAAUUAGUAAAAUUAUUUUCUUAUUUAUGAUUUCUUAAUCACCGUGUAAAAUGAAAUGUAUCUAACUAAUAUGAUACGGAUGAAGUAAUUUGGAGAAUUGGAAGAGUUGCAGAGCAAUUAAUUUUCAGUUAUUGUAACCAUUCAAUAUUUUUGAAAUUGCUUUCAUAUUCCUUAGUUACUGCAGGGUAACCUUUUGAAUGCAUAGCUGUUUAUGUAAUAUUUUUUAGUUUAGCCUUCAGUCAACAUUAUAUAAUCCUUUUACAACUAAUUACCAACUUAAUUAUUUAUGCCAGCAAAUUUCUUCAAUUUUUAAUCUGGAAUUUGAAGAAUUAUGUUUGCAUUCAAUAAUUAAAUAUUGAGUAAUUGAAAAGGAAUCUUAAGAAUCCACAUGAGAGUCCUAAUAAAUCAUGUUUCUCACUUUGGCAAGCAUGUGAUGAAGUGUAAAAAAGAUAAAUUAAAAAGGACGUCUUUUAUGGUCUUUGGCAAUCAAAGUUCAUUAUUGUUUGGUUACCUAUUGCAAUUAUUGUUUGGUUAACUAUGUUUAUGUGAAAUAGAAGGAUUGCAGCUUGAUAGCUUGCAACCAAGGAGAAGAAGAAGAUAAACAGAAGCCGAAUUUUCAUUAUUCUCUCCUGAAGCUUUACAGUUAUGAGUCUAUUUAUAGACUUGAGUUAAGAGGAGCUAAGAAUGAGCUAAGAAGUGAAUCAUGUAUCCAUCUCAUUGACAACUCAUUGUAACUACUAAUCAUCAUCUAACAACCUCAAAUAGCCUAUACAGUUGACUCAUCUAUCAGAUAACUAGCUAACUGACUAACUACCCUAUCAGUUUUACACAUCAAUAGAAUAGGUAGUCGUACAUGUGUCAGUGUAUGUAGUAGUCAAAACAGUCCCCCUCAAGCUGCAGGGUGCUGAAUGUUUAGCACACCAAGCUUGCUAAGUAAAUGAGUAUGUUGAGAAAGGCUCAUGCCCUUGGUAAGCAGAUCAACAAGUUGAUUACUAGAUUGAACAUAUAGAGCCUUAAUCAAGCCAUCUUUAAUCUUGUCCCUAAUGAAGUGGUAGUCAAUCUCAAUGUGUUUGGUUCUCUCAUGAAACAAAGGGUUGUUGGCUAACUGAAUGGCUGAAUUACUGUCACUGAAGACUAAAAAAUGAAGGGUGGCAUGAACCCUGAGUUCCUAAAAUAAACAAACUAGCCAAGUGAGCUCUGCAACUGAUGAAGCCAUGCUUCUGUACUCAGCUCCAGCAGAACUCCUGGAAAAAUAUGUUGUUUUUUUUAUUUCCAUGAUAUUAUUGAUUCACCAAAGUGAAUGGCAUAACCAGUAACUGAUCUUCUGGUGUUGGGGUAAGCAACCCAAUCUGAGUCGCACCAAUAAGUUAGAGAAGUAGUAGGCUCAGCCUUGAACCAGACACCUUGACCAACAGAACCUUUAAGGUACUUGACCACCCUCGUAGCUGCUUCCCAGUGAGAUUUCUUGGGUUGUUGCAUGAAUUGGCUGAGAGUUUGAACAGAAAAAUUAAUGUCUGGCCUUGUAAUAGUGACAUACAUAAGUUUUCCAGCAAGUCUUUGGUAAGAAGAAAUGUCAGAAAUUAACUCAUUAUCUUGUGCACCUGUGGUAUGAUCAUACUCAAUUGAGGUUAACUUGGCAUUAGAUUCUAGAGGGGUAAUAGCCGUUUUAGAACCACUAAGCCCUGUGUCAGCAAUCAACUCAAGAAUGUACUUUCUUUGGUUUAAUAUGAUCCCUGAUGCUGAUCUUAAAACUUCAAUGCCUAAAAAAAUACUUGAGAUCCCACAAGUUUUUCAUUUUAGACUGCUGAUGUAACUUGAUUUUAGUGGUAUUGAUCAAUGAUGCACUGCUCCCAGUAAAUCAGUAAAUCAUCAACAUAUACAAGUACUAUAACAAUAUCAUUACCUUGAUGCAAAGUGAAUAGGGAAUAGUCAUGUACACUCUAGGUAAAACUAGCAUCAUGUAAAACAUGAGUGAGCUUCAAAUUCCACUGCCUGGAGGCCUGCUUAAGACCAUACAAGGAUUUGAUCAACUUAUACACGUUGUGCUCCCCCUAUCUUCUAAAUCCUUCUGGAAUUUCCAUGUAGACUUCCUCCUCAAGAUCCCCUUGGAGGAAUGCAUUAUGCACAUCCAUUUUAUGAAGAUUCCAACCUUUAAAUGUAGCUACUGCAAUCACACAUCUGACUGUAACCAUCUUAGCCACUGGUGAGAAGGUUUUAUGAUAAUCUAACCCCUUCUGUUAGCUAUAUCCUUCGGCCACUAAUCUUGCUUUGAACCUUUUCACUUCAGCAUUUGCAAGAUAUUUGAUUUUGUAUAUCCAUUUGGAACCAACAUUAUUCUUCCCUUUAGGUAGAUCAACAAUGAUCCAUGUGUUGUUAGCUUCCAAGGCCUGAAUCUCUGACUUUAUAGUUUUCACCCACCUUGCAUCUUUUAUAGAUUAUUUAUAGUGCUGAGGCUCAGUCAAAGCAGAGUAUUUGGUUAAAUAGCACUGAUAAGUAGGACUCAGAUUUUUGUAAGACAGGCUUUUGGCUAAUGGAUGUUUGCAUCUCUGGUUUCUAGAAGUGUCAACAUAAUCAUGCAUCCACACUGGUGGUCUGCUUGUUUUUGUUGCUCUACUGGAAGAGGGUUGAGGCAGGGAAUAGUCAUCUUGACAUGUUUCUUCAUGAGUGGUGCCAUGUGAAGCUGCACCAGGUAUUGCAGCAUCAGAAAUGCUUUCCUCUUCAAUUGGAGUUUCUUCAGUAAUACUAUCAGUAGCUGUCUCAGGAAAUAUUUCAUCAUCUGUGGGGAUCAAGAAGUCAGUGAUAACUCAAUCUCAAAAGCUACCUCAUGGGGGAGGGGGGGGAUUUCCCAAGACCAUAUAAGGAGACCAAGGACCCUUUAACCCACUAAUGUGGGACUCUAACACCCCCCGCACACUUAGGGCUGGACAAUAUAAGACGGGGGGCCCAAUAUCGAAAACAAUGAACUGGGUGGGCCUAGCUCUGAUACCAUGUGAAAUAGAAGGAUUAAAGCUUGAUAACUUAUAAUCAAGGAGGAGAAGAAGAACAACACAAGCUGAAUUUUCAUUAUUCUUUCUUGAAGCUUUACAGUUAUGAGUCUAUUUAUAGACUUGAGUUAAGAGGAGCUAAGAAUGAGCUAAUAAGUGAAUCAUGUAUCCAGCUCAUUGACAGCUCAUUGUAACUAACUAAUCAUUAUCUAACAACCUCUAACAGCCUAUAUAGCUGACUCAUCUAUCGGCUAACUAGCUAACUGACUAACUACCCUAUCAGUUUUACACAUCAAUUGAACAGGUAGUCAUAUAUUUGUCAGUGUACGUAGUAGUCAAAACAGUUUAUUAUGUUACCAUCAUUCUUGGCAAAUCUCUAAAUUUUUUAGGGAUAAGUGCUCAUCUCUAAAACUUUAGCUUCUUAACAAGUAUUCUCAAGGAAUCAACUUACAAAUAUUAGUAAUUCUUUCUCGAUAUCAGAUAAGUCUUUUCUAAAGUUUAUGCUUAAUGAAAUAAAUUCUUGAAAUUUUGUUAACUUUAAUAAAGGAUCAUGAAGAGUUGCAGUGGAUUGCUACCUAAAUCAGGUACCUUUUCCUAGAUAAACUCAAAAAGCAAGAAUUAGGAGAAAACUAUACACUAAAAUGCGUGGAGAAAGUAAAUAGCAGACACAAUAAUUUUAUGUGGAAACUCCUUGCUCAAGGGAGAAAAAAAAUCAUAAACUGCCUCCAGGAUUUCUAAGCUCCACUAUAUCCAAGCAAAGUUGAAUAUAGACUCCAAAUUCCAAGGAUUAAAAUCCUAAUCCUUAAUUUCCUAGUAAUAACUCUAUUACAAGGAGACACAAGCAGUAAAUCUACUGCUUCAACCUCCAGCUAACUCUAACCAGACACAACAAGCCAAAUCUAGCUUGAGAAUCACAUAACUGUAGAUGAUUACAAAGAAAUAAGGUUUACACCACAACACCUACUAAUAAUCAUAAAAUCAACAACAGUCAAACGUUUUAGAACACCUUACUAAGACUCAAAUAUAAUAAGGAAAUAAAGUAUAACUUGAUGAGCUAUCAGUUCCCUGUUGCAAAAAGAGUCUUUGAUUCAAGAGCUUCGAGAGAAAUAUUUUUUGUAAGUAUAUAAAAGUUUGGUUUUCUUGUUGGAGAAGAUAAGCAAUAUAUAUUAUGACACAAGAAAACCUAUGGGGAAUGUCAUUAAUUAAGACAAAAAGGUGGCAGCAGUUUUCACUAAUUUUUGUACUUGUGUCCAGCUGUGGGGUUGACAGUGAUAGUCACAGGUAAGCCCAACUUGUUCCCUGGGUAGUAGAAAAUUUGUCAUCACACAAUCUUUAGGAAACAGGUCCCCAACAUGCAGUUUGUCAAACAUCAAAACUAAGGACUUAACAAUUUCCCCCUUUUUGAUGAUGACAAACUCAUGGAACCAUUCAGCAACCCCAACCAUCUGCAUAGCACACAACAGACACACAGGACUCAGCAACACAUACCCUCAAGUCUUUUUCUCCACCAAUUCCCCCUGCCUAUGAUACCCCUAAGCAUUCCUUACAUAUUCUCCCUGUCUAUGAGCACCAAAAAGUUUUUCCCUGAGUGUAAGAACCACUUUCUUCAUUCUCCAUUCCCUUGUUCUAUCUCGACUUUUACACAAUGUACACAACUUCUCUUCUACACGAUAUGCACAGAUACACCUAAUCUCAACUUCCCUAUUUUGGCAUCAUCAAAGAAGUUACGCAGUAAACCAAGCAUAGAUAGCACAUAUAUAUUAACUUAUGUUUAUUGAGACAACACUUACAUAAGCAGGGAAGAUGAGAUAAGGAAGAGAGAAAAUAGCACCAAGAGAGCUCAUGCAAGAAUCAAGAGAAAGUAUCAAACACUUAUUCAGAUAGAGGACCAUAGAGAAAAAAACAGUUGUCCUAUGUUUACAGACAGAGACAACCAUGCACUAGCACAAGGAUAAGAGAACCCAUAAGAGAAGUAGGAACCAGGGUAUGUGGUUUAAAGAGAAUCAAUUUCCUUCAUCCGUCACCCUUUUUUUGUUUUAAUUAUUAGUAUUUUUUAAUUCAAACUUAGCACUCCUAUCAACCAUGAAUAAGACUGGCUGGUAGACUCAAGGAGAGGGUGGAUUUUUUAGUGACUAUGGACAUAGUACUUUGCUGGAAAAUAGAAUUAUGUCCACUAUUCAUAAAUAGAGUGUGAUACUAACCUAAUUGGAAAAUUGGUCCCUAUAUGAAGAUUUGAGUACAUAACAUUCUGAGCUAUUUUGUCUUCUCCCUAUCUUGUCCUUUCUACCAUAGGUGUAUAUCUGCAAAAGAUAUGAGACUGAGUUAGAUAUAGGUGUACAAUCUGACCUAGAUACCUACUUACCAAGUCAUAGCCAUAAUUGGAGUACGAAAAAAAUUAGCAUGCAUUUAACUUGACCUCAUUAGCCCUAUCCUUGUCUUAUUUUUCUCAAACUGUUCUCUAUCCAGUGACUUGGUGAAGAUGUCAGCAAUUUGAUCUUCAGUACAUCAAAACACCAUCUUGAUCAUCCCCUUCUCCAUAUUAUCUCUAAGAAAGUAUUGUCUAACAUUAAUGUAUUUUGUUCUCUUAUGCUUAACUGGAUUCUUAUCCACAUUGACAAAACUUAUAUUGUCAUAGAAUAAGGGCAAAAAAUCUUGGAGAAUGCAAAAUUCCUCAAGUUGUUGCUUGAUCCAUAACAGUUGAGCACAACAUAAUGUAGCUGUAAUAUAUUCAGCCUCAGCAGUAAAAAUUGCCACUAAGUUUUGCUUUUUGGUACCUAAGAGAUUAAGGAUGAGCCUAGAAAAUGAGCCAUUACUGAGUUACUUUUUCUAUCAACUAAGUACCCCGCAUAAUGUGCAUCAGUAUAGACAACCAAGUCAAAAUUGUCACCAUUCGGAUAGAAAAGAACCAGGUAAGGGGUUCCUUUAAGAUAUCUCAAAAUCUAGCACAUAUUCCAACACUAAACACAAUGUCAAGUCUGUUGGUUUUCAGGUAGAGUAGUGAACCAAUAAACCCCCUAUACAUAGUUUCAUUUACAAAGGGACUAGGUUCAUCCAAGUCUACUUUAGAGGAGGUUCCUAUAGGAGUAUCAAUAGGCUUUUCAUCCUCUAUAUGGAACCUUUUGAGAAAUUUCUAAAUAUAUUUUUAUUGGCAUACAGUAGACCCAGCUGCACCUUGUUAAUUUUCAAACUAAGAAAGAAGUUGAGUUCUCCCAUCAUACACGUCUAAAAUUCACUGCUCAUCAGUUGGGCAAACUCAUCACAAAGGGAUUUGGUAGUGGAUCCAAACAUGAUAUCAUCAAAAUAAACUUGGACAAUGAGAAGAUUUCUUCCUCUAACUUUUAGGAACAACGUGUUGUUAAUCAUUCUUCUUUUGAACCUAUUGUCAAGCAAGAAUUUGGUCAGUAUUUUAUACCAAGCUUUGUGAGCUUUCUUUAAUCCAUACAAGGUUUUGUUUAGUUUGAACACAUGAUUAGGAAAAUUAACAUUUUUAAAAUCUGGAGGCUACCUAACAAACAUUUCUUCUUUGAGAAAUCUAUUUAAUAAAACACUCUUUACAUCCAUCUAGAAUAAUUUGAAGUCCAUGUAAGAGGCAAAUGCAAUAAAAAUUUGAAUUUCCUCCAUCCUAGCCACUGGAGCAAAUGUUUCAUCAUAAUCUAUCACUUCUUCUUGGUUAUAGCCUUGCAUAACAAGUCUAGCCUUGUUCCUGAUAGUAUUCUCAUGAUGCUUCCAACUAGAUUUGAGGAGAGUGGAAUUACUUGUACUGGGACCAGUUCCCAUUGAGGUAUUAUCCUUAGGGCACUAAUUAUUACCUUUACUAGAUGGAGGAUCGGGAUCUAAAUGAGGAGCUUGUGAAGUGCCAUCAUUUUGCUGAGUUGUUGUAUCAAAAUUUUCAAGUCUUGACUCUGCUUACUAUGGGGCAUCAUCAUCAUCACUGACAUUUUAUUUUUCAAUAACUUUUAUGGGGUUUCCUAAAUUAUCAUCAGGAGAUCUAUCUUUGUUGACAUCACCAGCUUCAUCAAACAUAACAUGAAUACUCUUUUUCACCCAUUGUGUCCUUUUAUUGUAGAUCUUGUAGGGUUUUCUGAAAUAUUAGUAUCCAACAAAGAUUCCUUCAUCACUUCUUCGAUUAAAUUUUUCAAGAUCCUCCUUGCCAUUAUUUAGUACGAAACACUUGCAGCUAAAUGGUUUGAAGUAGUUCAGAUUGGGCUUCUUUUUGGUCAAAAGUUCAUAGGUUUUUUUAUUCAGAAUAGAUCUCACAAGGCACUUGUUAGUCACAUAGCAAGUUGUGUUAAUUGCCUCUGCCCAAAAAUUGUGAGCAAUCCCUGCAUCUAUUAACAUAGUUCUUCCAAUGUCCACAAGAGUCCUGUUUUUCCUCUCCAUAGCACCAUUUUGUUGUGGUGUUCUAGGAGAUAAAAAAUUAUGAUUGAUUCCUAGUUCAUUGCAGAAUUGAUUGAACCUAACAUUUUCAAAUUUAGUUCCAUGAUUAGACCUGAUUGAUGCAAUCUUGUCAUCAUACUUCACUUGCACCUAUAUAGAAAAAGCCUCAAAUAUAUGAAAAGUUUCAUCUUUUGAUUUCAAAAAGAAGGUUCAGGUGAAUCUAGAGUAAUCAUAAACAAUAACCAAGAUGUAUUCUUUUCCACCUCUAUUGGCAAUAUUUACACGCCCACACAGAUCCAUGUAGAGGAGUUACAAAGUCCUAGAUGUACUCACUUCCUUUUUGGUUUUGAAUAAAUAUUUUGUCUAAUUUCCUUUUGCACAUACAUCACACACCUUAGAGCUGGCAAACUUUACAUUAGGCAAGCCUUGAACUAGGUUAUUUACCAAUUUGUUCAGUAGUUUGUAGCUAACAUGACCUAGCCUUCUAUGUCAUGUGUCAGCAGUAUCUUCUUGCACAGUAAGGCAUGCCAUAUUUUUGGACUUACAGGAUCCCUAGUCAGCAAAAUACAUAUUCUUGUUUCUCCAAGCUAUCAAUAUUUCUUUACCAUUUUUGAUCCUGAUAACAGUGCACUUUUCUAGUCGGAAUCUUACUUCAUUUUUUUAUCACAAAUUUGGGCAACACUCAGCAGACUAAACUUUAAUCCAUCUACAAAAUGGACAUCAUUAAUUGUCUUACUCUAACUAUUUCUAAUUUUCCUAAUCCCAACUACAUAGCCCUUGUUACCAUCACUAAAGGAGACGACACCGCUUUCAGGGGCCUUAAGCGAGAGGAAGUCCUCAAUUCUUCCAUUCAUAUGCUUUGAACAAUCACUAUCCAUGACCCAGUGAUGGAUGCUUUCUCUAGUUUACCCUAUAAUAAUAAUAAGUGAUUAGUUUUGGAAACCCAUUUUAGCUUAAGCUCUCAGUAAGGUGAUGGUGGAAAUAUUAAGUUCUUUCUUGUCCAGCCAGGUAAGUUUACACUUCUUUCCUUUUGAAAAAAAAAUCCCCUCAUCUCUUUUAGAGCAACAGCUCUAGCAGGACAUGACUUCUUUGUGUGCACAUUUUUUCCAUAGUGAAAACACAACAAAUUAUCCUCGACUGAAACAUAUUUGCUAAAGUUGUAGGCAGGGUACACACUAAAGAACCCAGUCCAAGUAUUCUAUUUCAAGGCCUUGUUAAGUUCUUCCUUCACUUUAACUAGGUCUCUCUCUAGUUCAACACUCCUCUCAAGUGAGGCAGUCAGUUUUUCAUUAGCCCUAGUCAGUUUCUUUUUAACUUAAGUUGAAUUUGGGACUUUUCAUUCUUUCCUUUUGAAUUAACUCUAGAUGUUUCAUUCAUCUUUUCUUUUAGGAAUUCAUUUUCCAUAUAGAAGGAUUGACUAGUUGUUUGAAGUUUAGUUACUAGCACACUCAAUUCAAACAUUUAUUCUUCAUAUUUUUCAAAAUUUAACUUAAAUAUUCUUUAUCCCUUGUGAGAUCAUGAACAGUGUCAAUUAGUACAGCAGUAAGAGACUUCACCUCUUUAAGAGAAUAAUUCUUGAGAUUUUCCUUGAUGUUCAAGAGUGUUACCUUGUCAUCUUCAUCCUCUUCUGAGUUUUUCAUCAGGUAAAGAGAGAGUCAUAUACUAGAACAUCAUCCUCCAUCACUAUCAUGGAGACAUCUUCAUGCUCCUCAAAUUCAUCAGCAUCAUAGAGAGAAUCACCCAGAGCAACUAUGUCUUGCAUUGCAACCCUAUCAGCUUUAAUUUUUCCGUUAUGCUUUUCUUGAAAUUGUUUCUUAUCUCUUUCCUUCUUAAUGUUUUGCUUGGAAUGUUCUUUGUAUUCUAUCUUGUGCAAAGGACAAUCUUUGAUGUAGUGAUCAGGCUUUCCAUAUUUGUGGCAUGUAUCAUUCACCUUCCCAUAUAUGGUAUAUUUGUUAGAUUCCCCUUUUUGGGGGAUAGUGCCUGACUUCUUUAAAUCCUUCAUAACUUUCUUAGCAAUGUAAGCAAUUUUCUCAUCUUCAGUACUUGGGGUUUCUUUAGUAGCCUUUAGAGUCAGGUUCUUCUCUAUCUUGGGCUCAUUUUUCAACUUUCCAAACUUUUUCAACAUCUCAUAAGUUUUGAGAUUACCAAUAGGCUCAUCCAUAGUCAUUUUAUCUAGAUCUUUAGCUUAGUGAUGGUAUUAAAUUUACUCUCCCACUGCUUAGGAAAGGGUAAUUAGCAUUAGUUUUAGCUUUGGUGGUUUUGAUAUCUUCUCCCAAAUAGUGAAGCUAAUUUGUUAUGGAAGUAAACUUGGUGUGCAUCUCCUGAAUGGAAUCUCCCUCCUUCAUGGUGAAAGUCUUAUUGGUUUGUCAACAUAUCCACCUUGGAUUGCUUAAGCCGACUAGUUUCUUCAUGGGCUGUCUGAAGACAAUCCCAGAUCUCUUUAGCAGUUUCACAGGCAGAGAUCAUGUUGUACUUAUCAGGACUAAUACCACAUACAAGCAGCUUCUUCGCCUUGUAUUUCUUUUCAAUCUUCUUUAUGUCUGCAUCAUUAAAAUCCUUCUUGGUCAUGGGAAGUUGCGAGGUCUUAUCUCCAAUCUUUAUUGCCCUUGUGGGAAUAAAAGGACCAUCCUCAAUGAUGUCCAUAAUUCUGAAUCUUCAGCCCCGAUAAAAUCAUGUAUUCUUGUUUUCCACCACACAUAAUAUUCACCAUUGUAUCUUGGUGGUUUAGUGAUUGACUGGUUCUUUUAGAUUUGGAGGAGCGGCCAUAUUCAAUAUCUUUCCAGGGUAUUAACCUUUUUAGGAAGACCUUACUCUGAUAUCAAAUGAAGAGUUGUAGUAGGUUGCUUCUCAACUUUGGGACCUGUUCCCAAAUAAACUCAAUCAAUAAGAACUAGGAGAAAACUCAAACAAUAAAAUGCAUGGAGAAGGUAAAUAGCAAACACAAUAAUUUUACAUGAGAACUCCUUGCUCAAGAGAGAAAAAAACAUGACCUACCUCCAGGAUUUCUAAACUCCACUAUAUCCAAGAAAAGUUGAAUAUAGACUCCAAACUCCAAGGAUUAAACUCCUAAUCCUUAAUCUCCUAGUAAUAACUCUAUUACAAAAAGACAUAAGCAGUAACUUUACUGCUUCAACCUCCAACUAACUCUAACUGGACACAACAAGCUAACUCUAGCUUGAGAAUCACCUAACUCUGAAUGAUUACAAAGAAAUCAGGUUUACACCACAACACCUACUAAUAAUUAUACAAGCAAUAGUAGGAAAACAUUUUCGAACACCUUACAAAGACUCAAAUACAAUAAGGAAAUAAAGUACAACUUGAUGAGCUAUCAAUUCCCUGUUGCAAAAGGAGUCUUUGAUUCAAGAGCUUCGAGAGAAAUAUUUGUUGUAAUUAUAUAAAAACUUAGUUUUUGGUUGGAGAAGAUGAGCAAUAUAUAUUAUGAAUCAAAAAAACGUUGGAGGAAUGUCAUUGGUUGAGACAAAAAUAUUGCAGCAGCUUUUUACCAACUUUUGUACUUGUGCCCAACUGUAGGGUUGAUUGUGAUAGUCACAGAUAAGACCAACCUAUUCCCUAAGUAGUAGCAUCUUUGUCAUCACACAAAUUUUAGGAAACAGGUCCCUAACAUGCAGUUAGUCAAACAUCAAAACUAAGGACUUAACGGAUCAUCUUAUUAGAUAAGGGAAACAUUUGUCAUUUAGAUAAAGACAGUAUUAACAUAAUUUUUUAUUUCAUUUUGCUAGAAAUGUUUGUUAUUAUUUAAAAGUUGGAGUUUGUAGGUAUGGUUCUUGGACUUUCAUUGGUAUAUUCUUUAUGACAAAAGAUAUUAGUUGUUGGAAUUUCAAUAUUUCAUGACAAGAAAUGGGAAAAGGGAGAAUUGUGUCCUUGAGGUUAAAAAAAAAAAAAUAGGUUCCUAUAAGAAGCCAUUAAAGUACUUAGAUAGAUUAUAGGCUUCUGAUUGAAUUUAAAGGUUUAAGUUAUCGAUAACCCCCUAAAUUUGUUUUGAAAUUUCAAUUGGACUCUUCACCUCAGACUUAUACCCUAUUGAACACCUAACCUACCCGAAAUUUGAAUCACUUGAGCAUUUUUUUAUGGGAUAACUACAUAACUCAACAAACAUUGAGUCCUAAUUACCCUAUUUAGCUUAAAUUUCAAUUAAUUACAAUUUAUAGUCCCCUCUUGCCUAUUAAUUAUCCCAAAUUAUAAUUCAUACCCUCUCUCAUGUAUUUUUUCUUUUUUCUUAUUUUCUUUUACUCUUUUUUUUUCUUUUUCAGUUUUUUCUUCAUUUUUUCUUUUCCUUUUUUUUCUCUUUAUUUUUUUUCACUUUUUUUCUUUUUCGUUUUCUUUUUUUCAUUUUUUCAUUUUUUCCUUUUUAUUUUUUCUCCUUCUUUUUUUAUUUUUAUCUCUAUUUUCUAUUACUCUCCUUUUUCUCUCAUUUUUCUCCUUCCUUUUUUUUUUUAAUAUUUUUUUCCUUUUCAUUUUUCUCAUUCUUUUCAUUUGUACGAACCAGCAAACACAAAUACAAAUGAGAACUAUAAAACACAGAUACAAAUUCAAACUAUAACAUACAAAUACAAGUGUGAACUAUACAAUACAACUACAAAUCUGAACUAUAACAUACAGAUACAAGUGUGAAUUAUCAUUUGCAUUUUUUAAUUAUUAAAAAGGAACAAUUAAUUUUCUUUUUACAAAUACUUGUUUGUAUUUAUUGAUACGAGUUAUAUUUAUUGACACAAAUAAAUACAAUUCAAAAUUUUAUACAAAUACAUAUUGUAUUUGUAUUUGUAAAAUUAUUUCUUUGUAAUUGUAUUUGUAUCAAGUGAUAUUUGUUUAUUUACAAUCACGAAUGAUAAUUUUGACAUACAAAUACAAAACGGUACAUUUGUAUCAAAUGAUACAUUACAUAUUUAUAUAUUUUAGAAUCAGGAAAAUACAAUUAAUGCAUUUACUUGUUUGCAUACAAAUAUAAAUGAUAAAUUGUACAUAAUCAUGGCUAAAUACAAUAUGCAAUCAACUUACAAAUACAAAUACAAAAUAAUUCUUUAAAAAUAAAAAGGCAUCGACGAAAAUAGAAUACAAAUACAAAUAUAAUCUAAAUAUACAAACACAAUAACAUUACAAUAUAAAUAUAAAUAAUCCAAUAAAUAUACAGUCAAUUAUAAAAUACAAAUACAAAUUAGUUCUUUAAAAUACUAGUGCGAACUAACAAAUAUAAAUACAAGUGUGAAUUAUAAAAUAUAAAUAUAAAUGUGAACUACAAAAUACAAAUACAAGCGCGCACUUUAAAAUAUAAAUACAAAUACAGUUCUAUCAAUGAAUACAAAAAUAUAAAUGAUGGUGUGACUACAAAUACGAUAAACAAUUGUGGUAUUUACGUUAUCAUUCAUGACUUGUGCUCAAGUAGUCAUAAUUUUUAAAAAUACAAAAAAUAUAAAUAGAACCAAAAAAAAAAAUGAUAAAGUAAAUAAGUACAAAAAGAAAAGAAAGAAGAAAGAGAAAUAGAAGUUAGAGAUAGAAGAGAGAAAAUUUAAAAUAAAAAAUAAAAAAAAUAAGAAUAGGAAAAAUAGAAAAAAGAAGAAGAAAAAAUAAGGAAAACACGAAAAAGAAAGAAUAUAAAAAAAUGAAAAAAAAUGGUAGUGUUUUUGGCGAGACUAAAUAUGUAGUGUAUUUAUGUUUUUUAUGAAUAUAGACCACUGAGUAAAAGUGAAUACAACGACUGUGAAUCUAAUACGUCGAUUAAAUGGUACAAUACAAACUAUUGUUAAAAUUGAAUACAACGGUUAUAAAUGGUAAUUAUGUAAAAUAUAGCUAUGGAAGGUGAGUUUUUCAGCAAAGUGUAGCUGUUUUUGAAAGAUUUUCUUUUUUUAUUAAUCAGCUAAAAACACAAAAUAUAUGCAACACACUCUCACUGGCAAAAUGACGAAUUAAACUUGGACAUUUGGAAUUAAAUCUAAAAAAUAAUUAAAAAAUAAAUGGCAAAAAAUAUCUAUAUCUAUAUCUAUAUCUAUAUCUAUAUCUAUAUCUCUCUCUAUAUAUAUAUAUAUUCUUGCCAUUUAUAUUUUAAUUAUUUUUUAGAUUUAAUUUCAAAUGUCCAAGUUUAAUUUCAAAUCUUAUGUAAUUUACCACAUUCAUUUCAUCAUAAGCUGAAAUUUAAUUAUCUCCACCAGAUCAUACAUGAACACACAAGGAUUACCAUAUGCAAAAAACUACACCUACAAGAAUGUGUAUAUCAAAUUUCAACUUAAAAAUGUAAUUUUCAAUACGUUCACAUUCACUUCAAUUGAAUUAACCUUAGAUUCACGUAACUGAUAAAAAAUCUCAACAAAAUCUCACAAAAAUGGUUCAACCUUUAGAGAAUGAAUUUGCUCUGCCGGAAGCGAUAACACAUAUACCAAUCUAGCUGGCACCAAUUUCUCCCACCAAUUUCGUCAAAAUUUCAAUUCCCAAAUUUUCGCACCAAAUUCGUCAAUUUUUUUCAAAAUUUUCAAAUUUCCGCACCAAUUUCGUCAAAAUUUCAAUUCCAAAAACUUUUUUUAGCAAAUCUUAUGUAAUUUACCACAUUCAUUUCAUCAUGAGUUCAAUACCCAAAAUAUAAAUUUUCAACUUCUCCGAAACUUAUCACGAGAAGGUAGAUCGUAAAUAUUUGGUGUAAAGUGGUGGACUUGUGGUGGUGAAGUAGUGGCGGAAAUAAGUGUAGUUUAUGAAGAGGGGAAAGAGAGAAAAAUUAUUUAAAAGAAAAUGAGAAAGAAAGAGGAAGACAUGACAGAGAGCUGUAGCUGAUUAUGAAGAGGAUAAAGAGAAAAAGAUUAUUUAAAAAGAAAAUGAAAAAGAAAAAGGAAGAGACUACACAAAUGAAAUUAAUGAAAAAAGUGUCAUUUUUAUAUUUAAAUUUUGAUUUUUUUGCCGACAUGUCAAUUUUGUAUUGGCUUGUCAAAAGAUCUGAAAUUCUUCAUGCGCCUACCUUGAGUAAUUUUCACUCAAGGUGCCAUGUGAGCUAAAAAGGCUUAGGUGGUUCAAAUUAUGGGUGGGUUAGGUGUUCAAAGGUUACAAGUCUGAGAUGAAGGGUCCAAAUGAAAUUUUGAAAUAAGUUUAGGGGUGGAAGACUUGCCAAUUUUAAAAUAUCCAAAACGAUGAUCUCUUAUAUAAAGUCAUUUACACGAAAAGUGUGUCAUUUACACGAAAAGUGUGGUAUUUAGAUUUCGGUAAAUUUAAUCAUAUAAGUCCGAGACUAAAAAUGGUAUGAACUAAGUAAAAGUGAGGCUUAACUUUUCUUCACCACAAAAUAAGAGACGGAGAACAAUAUGGCUUUCGAGUGGAUUAUAAAAGAGAAAAGCAAAAUACGAUUGCAUAAAGGUAAUUGAAUCAAUCUGAAUUUGCUUAAAAUUCAAAAGAAUUUAAUUGUAUGGGGAAGAAAUUUGUCAUCCUUUACAAGUUGAUUAGCAAUUGAUCUUUAAAUUAAAGAAAACAAAUUACUUGAAAUUUUUCAGCACUCUUUUUCUAAAGCUAUUUUUUUAAUAGUACAGUAUUACUAAUAAAAAAUGUAAGUCAAUUCAUAACAUUUAUCCAGUCGUCUAACUUAAAACUCUCACAUUUGCCUUGGAAAUGUUAUUUUCUUUUGAGAAGGGAAGUUGUUCCUCUUUCUUAAUUUUAUCUAAUGCUGAGAUAUAUUAGUCGGAUAAGCUAGUUUAAAAUAUUGCAUAAUUUACGCUAAAGGUACGAGUAUUCUCCGAAUAUAAUGAGAACACUUCAUAGAAAAGACAUGUAUAAAAAUUAUUUUAAAAAAUCUGAUACAUUGACAUCAUUCAUUAGGUAUAAAUUUUAUUAUAUUAAUCAAGGCUACAUAAUAUGGGUGUCAUUAAUCAAGAUUUCACAUCAUUCAAUUUGAGUUUAUUUUGACAUCUCUACUACAUAUGCAAAGCAUGUGUCCAGAAACUAGUAUACAAAAAUGAGAAAAUGUCACAAAUAUAGUUAAGACUAUACACAUCAACAAUUAGGUAGUCCAAGUCAGCAGUUAGGAGAAGAUGUGAAAUCUUGGUUGUUUAAAAUCGAGCAAAUAUUUAGUUUUGAUGAAGUUCCUAUGGAGAAAAGAAUUGGUCUAACAAUAGUGCAUCUAGAAGGAGAAGCAAUACAAGGGCAACAGUCUUUUUUGAGGUACAGACAAUACACUUGCCCUUCCACAAUGAGUAUGUAAUGGCGUUGGUGGAAAGAUUUAGUCUAGAAUUUGAUGAUCCAAUGGAGGAAAUUAAAAACAUCAAGUAGACUGGAUCUGUAAAGGAAUACCAAGCUUUGUUUGAAAGCAUGUUAACUAGAGUCAACCUGUCACAAGAAAAUAUAGUCAGCUGUUUUCGUGGGGGGCUUAAGGAGGAAGUAAAUCUUGCAGUAAAGCCGACUUACCCCAGUACAUUGUCACAAUUUUAUAGAUCUGCUAGGAUCCAGGAAGCCUAUUUGAAUGUUCAGGCUAAUGUAAAGACAUACAACCACCAAUUUUGUCUCUUCCUACAAGAAGAUCGGUGAUUAAUGGAUUCAAACUAGGGCAUUACCGCCAAGCACCGGGGGUGAAAGUGUUAAUAGCAAACGAGGUGUUAAUAGAAGAAGGUUGAGUUUGAAUGAAAUCAAUGAGAAGAGAUCCAAAGGGUUGUGUUACUUUUGUACUGAGAAGUAUCUUCCAGGCUAUAAAUGCAAAAAUUUGAAGCAAUUGUAUAUUCUAGAAGUGGAAAAAUUAGAAGAGGAACAAUAUCAAGAAGAGAAAGAGAAUCAUGAAGAUCAUGAUAAAGGUGUUAUAUGACAAAUGGAGAUUUCCAUACAUGCACUCAAUGGUUCUUUAGGCUAUAGAACAUUGAGAGUGACUGGUUAUCAUGCUAAGAGACCUUUGCACAUUCUAGUGGAUGUUAGAAGUUCUCAUAACUUCAUUAAUCCUGACGUGGUGAAGUUAUUGGGAUGUACUACCAGAGAAACUCCACCACAAAUUGUAGCUGCAGCAAUUGGAAAUGGAAUUAAGGUAGACAAGGCUUGUCAAAUAUCUUGGUUGCUACAAGGGACUGAGUUCAUUGCUGAAUUCUUAUUAUUGCCUUUGCCCUUUGGGUUCUUGUGGAGUGGUAUCUGGAGUACAAGGGCUCCUAAUACUAGGAGAUACGAAGAUGAAUUUAAGGAAGUUAACCCUGGAAUUCAUGUAAAGAGGGAAGAGGCAUGUUUUGAGAGGAUUGGGAAAACAACUGGAAACAUCAAGAGGUGGAAGAAUUGAGAAACAAUCAGGUAAUGAAUCACAACUUUGUAUGAAUCAAGUGUUACCAGCUAUAUGUUAUACGUUACAUUGUGAUGUAAUAGAAUCCCAAGCAAUGUUAGAACAACCCAAGGUAGCAGAGUUAUUAGCAGCGUUCAAGAAGUAAUUUGUUGAACCUACUGCACUACCACUUUCUAGAGGGGGGUUUGAUCACAGAAUUAUUUUGUAGUCUAGAACUGAACCUGUAAACAAAGGUCAUAUAGAUGUCCACCCAUUAAAAGGGAUAUAAUUGAGGGGUUUGUGCAGUAAAUGCUUGACCAAGGGAUAGUACAACCUAGUUGCAGGCCAUUUGCAUCACAUAUGCUCUUGGUUGGGGAAAAAAUGGUUCUGAAAAUUAUGUGUAGACUAUAAGGAAUUGAAUAAGAACACCGUGAAAAACAAAUUUCUUAUUCUUAUCGUUGAAGAUUUGCUGGAUGAAUUGGGAGGUUCUAAGAUUUUUUUUCCAUAUUGAUCUAAGGUCUAUUUAUCAUCUAUUGAGAGUGGCAACUGAAGAUAUACCAACAACUGCAUUUAAAACUCAUUCUCGCCAUUUUGAAUAGUUGGUGAUGCCAUUUCAAUUGUUUGAAUACUUUGUGUUGAUGUUCUUUGAUAACUCUUGAUAUGGAGAAGCAACCUUGUACGGGUAAAUGAAUACAGUGUUUAAAGCUUUUCUUAGAAAAUUUGUGUUGGUGUUCUUUGAUAACUCUUGAUAUGGAGAAACAACCUUGUACGGGUAAAUGAAUACAAUGUUUAUCAUCUUGAUAUGAAUACAGUGUAAAUGAAUACUUGAGAUCUGCUUUUCUAGAAAUGAAGCAUUAGUUGUUAGCUAAACAAACAAAGUGCUUCUUUGUUGUUAAAAAGAUAGAAUACUUGGGGAAUGUCAUAUCAGAAGAGGGGGUAUCUACUGAUUCUUUAAAGGUUGCGGAGGUGAAGAAUUGGCCUUUGCCUAAUAAUCUCAAGCAAUUAAGGUGAUUCCUUGGUUUAGUUGGAUAAUAUAGAAUAUUUGUCAAGAGUUUUGGAGUGAUUAGUAGAUCAAUCACUUCUCUAUUAAAGAAAGACAACUUAAAGUGGUCACCUGUAGCUACUUCAGCAAUGGAGCAACUCAAGGAUGCAAUCACACAUGCUCUUGUCUUAGCUUUGCCUGAUGCAAGCAAGAAUUUUAUUGUAGAAGUUGAUGCCAAUGGUCAUGGCAUUGGAGAUGUGUUGAUGCAACAAGACCACCUAUAACUUUUAUCAGUAAAGCACUUUCACCAAGACAUGUUGCAAUAUCUAUCUAUGACAGGGAGCUCAUAGCUAUUAUCUAUGUAGUGGCUAAGUGGUCUAAGCAUUUGUUGGGACAAAGGUUCAUUAUUAGGAUAGAUCAAAAGUCUGUAAAGUAGCUCAUGGAGCAGACAUUUCAUACAAAUUCUCAGUUGCUAUGGUAGACUAAGUGCCAUUUGAUUACUCUAUACAAUAGAAGAAGGGGGUGAUAAUAAAGCAAUUGUCGUACUUUCAAGGGUAACGGGAGCUAAAUUGUUGACUUUGGUUAUUUGUAACACUAAUUCUGAUCUGCUACAAGCUAUUACUCAAAGUUAGGUUACUGAUACACAUGUGCAGACUGUUAUCUCUAAGUUGCAAGCUAAUUCUACUGAAAGUUUCGGUCUUUUUGGCAUCACAAUCUAUUUAGGAGGUAAGAUAAGUUGGUGUCUGGAAAUGUUCCUCCGUCGAGGAAGGAUAUCAUAGCUUUAUGGCACUCUACUAUUAGUGGGGGUCACUCAGGAGUGGGUGUCAUACUAAAGAGAUUGCUUACUUUAUUCUACUGAAAGGGUAUCAGAAAUGAUGUGAAGAGGUCUGUGUUGGCCUGUGAUGUUUACCAAAGGAAUAAAGCUGAUCUUGCAGCUUAUCCUCAACUAUUGCAUCCUCUACCUAUUCAAGAUGUGGUGUGGUCCCAUAUCAGCAUGAACUUUAUUGAUGGACUUCCUAAGUCAAGUGGCUGUGAGGUUAUUUUAGUGGUGGUUGAUAGAUUGAGCUAGUAUGCUCACUUUAUUCUUCUAAAACAUCCAUACACUGCUCAAUCUAUGGCUAAAGCUGUUCUUAAAGAGGUGAUCAGAUUACAUGGUUUUCUUGACAACAUUACUAAAGACAUGGAUGUCAUGUUCUUGAGUACAUUUUGGCGGGAGUUAUUCUCAUUGCAAGGGGUUCAACUUAACCUUUCAUCAUCUUACCAUCCUCGGUCUGAUGGUCAGACUGAAGUAGUGAACAGGUGUCUAGUAACUUAAGAUGUUUUUGUGCUACUGUUGCAACUGAUUUGGGUUGAGACUUGCUAAUGGCUGAGUUUCGGUAUAACACAUCUCAUCAUAGCUCUAUUCAGACUACACCUUAUGAGACACUUUAUGGGAAGCCUCCACCCCUACAUCUACCAUAUCUUCCCGGUGAAUCUGCUUCUGCGGAGGUGGAUAAUACUCUCUCAAAUAGAGAAAUAAGACUACAACUCCUUCAGCAUCACUUGGCUAGAGCACAAAAUAAGAUGAAGCAACUGGCUGAUUCUCAUAGAUUUGAGAGGUCUUUUGAAGUUGGUGACUGGGUGUAUUUUAAGACUCAACCGUAUGGGCAAGAUAAUGUGUCUAACCAACCUUUCCAUAACCUUGCUGCUAGGUAUUAUGGCCCUUUCCAAGCUUCUACGAAGGUUGGCUAUUACACUUUGCUAUUUCCUGUUGAAAAUUCAUCCAGUUGUGCAUGUUUCUCUGCUCAAAAAGUGUCACCGGGUGGCUGAUCAGAUCUCUUAUCCACCUGUGACUUAUAUUGUUAGCCCCUAUUAUCGUCAACCACAGCUAUAUUAUGAAGGAGGAUGGUUAUGAAGGGCAACAAGACUGUUGCUCAGGUUUUGGUUCAAUGGGAAGGGUUGCCUGCUGAUUGUGCUACUUGGGAAUUCGCUACUGCUCUACAAACUAGAUUUCCUCAUUUUGAUCCUUGAGGACAAGGAUUUUUUUCCACCAGGGAAGUACUGAUAUACAAAAAGGCGACACCGUCACAAAUGUAGUUAACACUGUACACAUCAACAGUUAGGUAGUCCAAGUCAACAAUUGAUUAUCAAAGUUAGAGUAGUUAUAAUAUUUCUAGAAGCUUCUCAAUUCCAUAUAUAAACAUUUUAAUCAAUUCCUCUGCAUAAUUGAAUAAUAUACUCAAGUUUCUACUACAAAUUCUAUAAUCAUCUUCUUCUUAUCUUCCAUCAAUUGAGCUUCACUACGCGGGUAAUCUCUGAAAUUUCCCAUGUACAACUACCGAAUUCUCGGAAUCCAUUAGUGAUUUCUUGAUUUCAACUAUCAUCAUCUAAAAAGGUUUGUAACUUGGACAUAUAAUAAAUAUCAAAAGAACAGUUUUGGACAAACUUUGUGCCGCUAUUACGAGGGACUUUGCUGCAACGCCUUUUAGUACAUAGUAAAAAAUAGAUAGAGCGUCUCAAUUUUCUUUUCCAGCACCAAUGGUCACUAUCAGUGUAUUAACAAAAUAUAUUUUCCAUGAAUUUUUUUUGGUGGCCUGGACAGUUAUGGUAUUUUCACGAUGAUGAACGAGUUCUCAAUUGUUCAUAAACUUACUACGUAUUUGUUAAGGUUGCUUCAAGGAAGGAUACAUAUUGACAACAUUUAUCAAAAGUAAUCAUUCAGGCUAUAAAACAUGCUCAUCAAAUAUACUUCUCAUUUAUCAAUCGUAUAAAAUUGAGUCAUUCUGGAAUAAAACACUAACCAAAUUUCUUUCAUUAGAUAAUAAUGCAGGGGGAAGAACUUCCAGCUCUGUGAAAUUUGGAAAAUCGUGUGAUGUUGGUGGUGUUAACAUUUUUAGAUGUAGUAGCAUUUUGAAUCUUUGAUCCUACUAAUUGUACUGGGAGUUCAUGCUUUUUUAUUUUUAGAUCUGUAUUCAAACUUAUAUGUAGUUGUAGAUCCUUUGGAUGUUUGAAUAUUUGGAUAAUUGAUUUGCUGGAGUGAAUUGUCCUUGGGGAAGUUGAAACUUUAUGUUUAGUCACAAAUGACAAACUAGCACUGCAAUUGUCUUCUUCUUUCUAUCUCUCUUUUUUUUUUUUGUAUAAAAAAAAAUCAUCUUUUUGUCCUUUUUAGGCUUUAAUUAUUUGGUUG
rnacentral:lncRNA from 1 species